rnacentral:RNase_P_RNA from 1 species
GAAGCUGACCAGACAGUCGCCGCUUCGUCGUCGUCCUUUCGGGGAGACGGGCGGAGGGGAGGAAAGUCCGGGCUCCAUAGGGCAGGGUGCCAGGUAACGCCUGGGGGGGAAACCCACGACCAGUGCAACAGAGAGCAAACCGCCGAUGGCCCACGUAAGUGGGAUCAGGUAAGGGUGAAAGGGUGCGGUAAGAGCGCACCGCGCGGCUGGUAACAGUCCGUGGCACGGUAAACUCCACCCGGAGCAAGGCCAAAUAGGGGUUCAUAAGGUACGGCCCGUACUGAACCCGGGUAGGCUGCUCGAGCCAGUGAGCGAUUGCUGGCCUAGAUGAAUGACUGUCCACGACAGAACCCGGCUUAUCGGUCAGUUUCAC